UAGGGAAUCUUCUGCAAUGGACGAAAGUCUGACCGAGCAACGCCGCGUGAGUGAAGAAGGUUUUCGGAUCGUAAAACUCUGUUGUUAGAGAAGAACAAGGACGUUAGUAAUUGAACGUCACCUGACGGUAUCUAACUAGAAAGCCACGGCUAACUACGUGCGAGCAGCCGCGGUACUACGUUGGUUGCAAGCGUUGUCCGGAUUUAUUGGGCGUAAAGCGUGCGCAGGCGGUUUCUUAAGUCUGAUGUGAAAGCCCCCGGCUCAACCGAGGAGGGUCAUUGGAAACUGGGAAGCUUGAGUGCAGAAGAGGAGGAUGGAAUUCCGUGUGUAGCGGUGAAAUGCGUAGAUAUAUGGAAGAACACCAGUGGCGAAGGCGGCUCUCUGGUCUGUGACUGACGCUGAGGCACGAAAGCGUGGGGAGCAAACAGG
rnacentral:rRNA from 1 species